rnacentral:lncRNA from 1 species
CACCAGCGUUACUUUCCGUAUCUCCAAUGUUGGAAACAGUUUCUCCGUUGCCACCAGCACUAGCACCAGGGUUAGUUCGAGCACUACCACUGCUAGAUUUUGAGCCACCAGCGUUUUUUUCGGUUCCUCCGUUGCCACCAGCAUUAGCACCAGGGUUAGUUCCGGCUUUACCACUGCUAGGUUUUGAGCCACCAACGUUUUUUUCGGUUUCUCCGUUGCCACCAGCACUAGCACCAGGGUUAGUUCCAGCACUACCACUGCUAGGUUUUGAGCCACCAGCAUUUUUUUCGGUUUCUCCGUUGCCAACAGCACUAGCACCAGGGUUAGUUCCGGCACUACCACUACUAGGUUUUGAGCCACCAGCGUUUUUUUCGGUUUCUCUGGUGCCAUCAGCACCAGGGUUAGUUCCGGCACUACCAAUGCUACCAGAAUCACUUCCGAUGCCAC